UGUCAUUUGUUUUAUUUUUGUGUAAAUUGUUUGAUUCCUGCUGUUGUGGUAAUCUUAAGUUUCUUUCUACCACAUGGAGUCCAGUACAGACAUCAACACUCUAAGGUCCAUGACUAAGGGUAUGAACGAUAAACUGAACUCAACAGAAGUUGUGCAUGAAAGUGACAGUGAAGUAAUUUCAGUACAGCUUUUGGAAUUUAAGACGAAUCUGCUCGAGGCAGUUGAGGAACUUCAUAUUUGUAGGGAUGCUGAAAAACGACAUGAGACUCAGAUCUGUAAACUCGUACUGGAGAAACAAGAACUCGAAUGGCAAAUGGAGUCUCUACACAGUCAGAUUAACACGAUGACAAAUGAACAUUCAGAAGCCCUUGCUGCACUUAAAAAGCAGUUUCAGGCAAAUAUCAGAGGGAUUGAAGGAGAAAAGGGGAAGCACCAGCUGAGUGCUGAAUUAAAGGACAAAGAGAUCUCAAGUCUGAAAGAAGAGCUGAAGUCGCUGCAGUUGUUCAAGUACAGUUUGGAGAAGAAAUUAAGUGAGCUGGAGCAGAAGUUGCAGCUUCAGACUCAGGCGAGGGACAGCCAUCUGAAUCAGUUGGGAGAAGUGGAAAAGCGUUUUGGGAUGAUCUCAAGACAAUGUGCUGUGGUCAAACAGGCCCAUGAGAAACUGGAGCAGAACGUGGACGAGGCAAUCCGGCUGAACAAGAAACUUGUGCUCAUCAACAGCAAUCAAGAAUCAACAAUUGCUGCCCUGAAAGAGGAGGUGGAGAAGCUUAACAGCAAGCUAGUAAAAGGCAAAGUUUCAUCUAUCUGCAAAUCCGGAGAAGACAGUUCUUAUUUCCUUUUGAAAGACCAGCAACUACAGGAGCUUAAACAGAGGCUGAUUGUGGAGACAGAUCUAAAUAAGAAGCUCAGAAAUGAAAAUGCUGUUGAAAGGGCAGAGAAGCAGGAGCUGAUGAGUUCUCUCCAGCAUGCCCAGUGGCUGCUACAGACUCAGACGCAGGCUGUGAGCAGAGCCGAACAGCAGCUUCUUAUACACACUGAGGAGUACCAGGUCCUUAAACGGGAACAUGAAAUAGUCCAAGAGAGAAGUAAGGAGAAAGAGGACAGACUUGUGCAGCUGAUAGAAGAACACAAAAACUCUAAUAUCACCUUGAAAAAAGGGGUGCAGAUACUGCAAGCAAAGAUGCGGUCGGAUCACAUGGAGCUGAAGGCUGUCAAAGUGGCAUAUGAUAAUCUUCAUGAAAAACACAGACAACUAUCCUCUAAUAUUGUGCAACAAGCAAGACACAUUCACAUUACAGAGAGUGGAGGCAGUUCUCAAGACAACAGCGAGCAAGCGAGACACCACAAAGAAGAUAAAGACGCUUUAGAUGAAAGGACGGCUGGGUGUCACAAAGCAAUAAUAGGUGGUGGAAACGGUAAGGUUAAUGUUGGUUCACGGAUGGUUCCUGAGCCUCUGCCUUCUCAAAGACUUGCUUCUUUGGCACCAGAUCAGACAGAGACAAGUGACGGCAUCAGUAUGGCUGAAGUGACAAAUCAGGAGAUAGAUCCAACUGUCAAACACGAAACUAGUGUUGGUAAAGGUGCACCAGUCCAAUGCAUAUCAGAUAACGUUUGCUCUUCAAGCACACUGCAGACUUACACAGGCAGCUGCCUUGCCGAGCUAUCGGAAUCUGAAACCAGGUCUGUUUAUGGUGCGACCAGUGAGUUACAGAUGCCUGAACUGAGCGAUAGGCCAGAGGAGAGGAGCUGUGUUUUAAAAAUGCUGGAACAGGAGACAUCAGAUAAACACACAUGCGAGACAGCUCAGGACAGUAACUGGAAGUCUCAAACUGUAGCACCUGAGAUGAACAGGCCUCCGAGUGCCUCACCUAAUGGUGAAAGUAAACUCUGCAAUAAGGAACAAGCCACCUUUGAAGAAAAUAACCCACAAAUAACACUACAAGAUGACACCUAUCAGAUUUCAAUAAAGAAUAAAGACACAAGUGCAGCCAAUUCACAUCCACAGCAACAAAUUGUUUCUGAGCAACAAGACCUUAAUGAGAUAGAUGUUUCUAUGUCAGGUGCUACCUCCUUUUCUGCUACAACUACUAGACGACCAGAACACAAGCUUUCUCAACUUCAAAAUGACUCAAAGUCUGGAAACCCUGAUCAACAUAGCACACUGGAAGAUAUAAACAACAUUGAUGCAAUUGAGGCAAAUCCCUUACCAGAAGCUGAAAAUAACAUUUCCUGUCCUAAUCAAUCAUCUUCUCAAUGCGCAUUUAAUUUACCAGGAGAUUUAACAGGAAAUAAAAAAGAUGAUAAAGAUACUUCUGCUCAAAUGUUAACCGACCAGCAAAAUGCAGACACAUACACAGGUCCUCAGAUCUUAAACCCACAGGAAGACCUGGGACCUUCAUCCACUGAUACUCCCGCAAAACAACCUGAACAGCCAAAUGAAACAGAACCAUCUUGUUGUGAUGACAGCAAGAAAUAUAGAUCUUCUUCUGAGUUAACUGCAUCUCCAAAGGAAACAGUGGAUACACAGUCAGGGUACGAAAAAAGUGUCCCAAAUGUUAAACAAAUAGAGAGGUUAGACGACUUCCCAGCACUGACAAGGUCCCCCACUUUAGAGAAAAAUUCACUGCUGCCCUCCGACUUCCAGGAGCUUCUCACCUCACUGCAUAUUCCAGUAUUUCCAAGACCCAGACCACAAAACAGAGGUUCUACUGUAAUUGCGCAGCCGCUUGACAAGCUUAGUGUUUGUAGUAUCCACCCUAAAAGAAAGAGUGAUCACCAAGGAGAAUGGAAAGCAAUCAAGCAGACCUUUUCUGACACCUUGUCUGACGAACAAUAGACAUCUACAGAAUGCCUUCCUACUCCUGGGAAAAUCUAGGGGAACCUAUGGUUCGUUUAAAGAGCAGGAAAAGUGAGCUGUGUGUCUCUACAAAUGUUUAGGAACUUCAGCAGCAAACGGAAGAUGGGCGCACUCAAUUUUGUCUUCCGCUGCUGAGGGAUACCAGAUUGCAUCAGAGGAGAGCACGUCACUGUACACGCCUCUUUCGACACAUGCACAGCCCUCCUCUUCUCGCCCCUGCAUUCUGCACAGGCGUCUCUUCUGCCAAUCAGGGUCCUUACACAGACCCACCCACACACACAUAGUCUGGCCCCCAACCUGCAGAUACGGAGGCACUGCCAGUUAUGCCCGCUAGAUGGUGCCCAGCCGACCAGUGGCAACACCGAGUUUCGAACUGAGGAGUUCAGAAACUCGGUGCUGGUGUGCAAGCGGAAUAUGCUUUUUAUAAUUAAAGUACUGUAAUGUACAUU